CAUUUAUGUGUAGUUUCUUGGAUACCAUAGAGCAGCAUAUUGAUCUAUUUGUUCUCUCUUCCUAUUUUGUAAUUUAUGUAGAGAAAUGCUAUAGAAAUUAACAAGGGGGUUAUUUCGAAUGGUUUGAUCUGAAAUACUAUCUCUUAUGAAAUCUGUUAUUGCUAGUUAAUUAUGCAUAAUCAUUUGCUAGUUUGCUUAUGAAGGGUUUGUUCUAACAUUGCUAGUUUGCUUAACAACCAUCAUCAAUUAGUUACUUAUGCAUAUUUUUUUCGACGCAGGCAUAUAUUUUGUUGGACAGAAAGCAGUAGUAGGUGAAGGUUUGCAGCAAUCAAUACUCUACUAUGACAAUAACUUGACUGGGACAAUUUUUCUAUUUGAAGUCAUGAAUGCAAGAAGAGGUCAAGUUCACCCCAUCGGAAGCUCUUCGCCUUAAAUUGAAGCAUUCAUCAAAGCUCGACUUUGAGUUGCAAAUGGGAUAUAUGUAGUAAAACGCAAAUUUGGACUGUCAGGUUAUAUCUGCUCGAUCUUUGUUUACGUGGCCAACACAUAUUCUUUUGGUUCUCUCCAAGACAGAACUGCAAUUCCUUGCUCUGCUGCCUACACUAAUGCCUAAUUGAGGGUCAUUGCUGAAUGUGGAAAUUGGUAUUGUAACACUUCUAAUGCAAUUCAACUCUACUUUCUUUCUGUCUAGAAGAUUGGACAU